UAAAGAAGCCAGCAUGCAAUUCUGCUUUUAAGUUUGAAAACUAGAUCUCAUAUGUCAUAUAUUUAUAUUCCAUAUAAAUAGAAAAAAUGAAAUAUUGUAGAAAGGCAUUUUCUCAAUGUUUUUAACAAUUAUACAUUGUUAUAAGAGCAUUAAGAAUACAGACUCCCUGAUUGCUGUUAAUUUUUAUUCUUCCUCUUUAUUGGCCCAUGUGGAUUUUGAAAUAAUAUUUGGCAACUCUUGCUUUUCAAGCAUUCUUUUCACACAUCUGUAGGGCUUUCUUACAUUUACAGAUUAAUUCAGAUGUAUUUUGGCUUAGAUUUCUGUCUCAGCAACGUGUAGACUAUCAAGGCAUUUGAUUGCCUCACUGGAGAGGAUUUGAAAUAUCUGUAAAUAAAAAUCUGAAAUUUGGCUGCAGUAUGAGUGUGGUGUCUGUUAAGCACACAAGAAAACAGAAUAACCUCUACUUCAUCAUUAAUACUUCAAGAAAAUAAGGUGUUCAAUUACAAAUCAUGCUAGAUAAAUUGGUACUAAUUCUCCAGGUCCCAUGAGUAUGUAUAGCAAGUGUUUGAGUGCCUCUUGUUGUGACAAAAGUUCAAAUUAUCUUUAUUAAAUGGGAAUAAUAUAGUUCAAUACUCAAUCCUUUGUGGAUUAACAUUCUCUAUUAAUAUUUUUUUUUAAAUAUACAGUCCGCACAUGCAUAAAUGGGUUUUUUAACAGAUUAGGGUUAGCAGGACUUGAAUUUGUGUGGUUUGAUGGUGAAAUCAAAAAGGUCUGAUCAAGGACUGAAUGCAUAAUAAUAAUAUAUUCCAGUGCCCAGGUAAGCAUCCUACCAAAUGGGCAGCAAAAUGUCCUGGGUGUAACCUGCUUUCCUUUCUUCCUGUUGGAGCAUUCCCACCUCAAGCAGCUCAUUCAACUGUUCACAAAUUACUUCAGAAAACUUUGAGGUGACCAGACCCAAGUUCCUGUCCAUGCUCCAUGAACACUGAGAUACAUCCACACCUCAGAAUGUGUCAGCAGCAGAGACCAAGGCUAUCUCAUGCCAAAACACCUCAUGGUUUGGAAGGAAGGGCACUGAUCUAGGAAGAAGAGGUUUCCCAGGAAAAGCUCAGUGUAUGAUGUGGUGCUCUGUUCCUGGGAGCUGCGGAAAAGCAGGAAGGCAGGAACACAGCCUGCUUGAGGAACAGUGAAAAGGGGAGAGGGUGAGUGAGGCAGAAAACCUCUGAGCGCAGAAUCCAUGAACUAUGCAAAUUUUGUACCACUGCACCGGUUUACCCAAGCUAUGAGUUGGACUCAGCCUAGAUCCAGCAAGAUUUCCUAGUCCAAGCCUGGCAGCAGUUGUGCUGGAGUUUGCUGUGCUGUGUCCAGCCCAGGCUGUGAGCACAAAAUCCCAUAUUUACACCUCUGUGCCACGUCCUGCCGCACUCCAAGAUUUAGAUGCCUCCAAGCUUCAAUGUGGGACCAAGCACAAGCAAGGGUUCAGCACCAGAUGUUUUGUGCACACUCACCCCACGAUUAUCUUCAUUAAAAUUGGCUUCUGGUCUUACAGGUCCUGAUGAAUGUCAGCUGACUCACUUCCCAAACUGCCUCAAGAUAACACCAGCUCUGUCCCACAUGUCCCAGUGCUGGGAUGCCACCACACUGCACCAGACCUGCUGCCAGUCCAACAAGGGAGGAUGGCACCUCCUUCCCCCGGUAGAUUUGACUCUUGUUCUCCUCCACCACCCACCCAGCCCAUGCUCAGUCCUAGGGUGAAUAAAACUUUUUUUUUUUUUGCCCAAUCUCCCUUCCAAAAUGUCGCGUUGUUCUAGUCUGGGUGAACAUUAUCUUUUUCCACUAUCACCUACAGACCCCAGGGAGGUGCAUACCAUAAAAAAUUUGAUUUUAAAGUGUAAUUUUUGAGAUUUCCAACAAUUUUCAAAAGGUUAGGGGGAGGUAUUACUGGUGCUUUUUCACAUUACUGAAUUCACUGUAAUUUAUGGAGUCUGCACAGGCAGAAUUACUGAAUUACAGUCCUGACUCCUGCAUUUUACUGUUUGCCUCUCCCCCUCUUAAGCACUCAUGACAAAUGCACUUGAAUCUGGGAGACAGCUCUAUCUUUUAACUACAACAUUUUAAUUUUCUGUCUGGCUGCUGAAGCAGAAACAGCCUUCAAAAUUUUAGCCAAAUUCUGGCCUCUUAAAAUUCAGUAAUAAGAUCAUGCUGGCAUCUCACCUUAAAUUAAAAUGUACUGCCCAAUGCUUCUCUAACUAAAAAUAAAUAAUUUCAGGAAACAGAUUAUCCCAUUAAGAUAACUGAAAACAAAUAGAUGAUUUAUUAGCAAUCUCUCCCCAAAUACACUAUUUAAUAAGCUUUCAAAAGCUGUUCACUAGAGGGAUAUAUGCCAUGCCUUCCUCAAUCAUUAUCUUAGCAUUCAACUUUGAAAAGUGGCUGCUAAUAACUUCUUGAGGGGAAAAAUUUACACAGGCCUGUAGAGGGAAAAGGCACGAUCAGCUGGAAUUUCAUCAUGAACUGCACCAAACAAUAUUAACUAUGGCCAGAGAAACCUAAAAUGGUUUUUCUCCCACCUUUAGGUAUAAAUGAGAUUCUUGCAAUGUUGCCCAUCUUUCCCUGAAUGAAGGGCUCUUCCUUGAUCUCAGCAGCACACAACAGAAAUUAAUUCCACAGACCCACUGGGCAUUAUGGAAAGCUGUUUGCCACUGCUAGGUCCAUGUUUUCCUCCUUUAAGUCCUUCAGCUAUACAAUAAAACCCAUAGAAAUGCUGGGUCAACCUUUCAUUAAUUUAAGUAUUUCUAAUCAGCAUUUUAAAACUGAUUUCCACACCCC